AGAGAACUGACUACAUGUUUUGCAUUAUACAUGUAUAGCAGAUAACUUGGACAAAAGAGGAGGUAUAGAGAAGAAUUCCACAGGUACCUUCCAUGUGAUUUACGCAGUGAAUGGCCCUGCUUUCCGAGCAAGUUAAUGAUAUAAUAUGCCCAUUUAUAUUCAGAGCAGUCAACACUUUCUAGCUCUCAGAAUAAUAAAAGCACCUGCAUUUAAUAUACAUGGGAGAAUGGGAAGGCGAAUAGCAGAUAAGGCACAAUCAGGUAAGUGUAAUCAGAUAAAAUAUCACAAUAUUAUAGUAGAUCAGCAUCUGGUAAUGACUUGAAUUUUGAAAGACUGACAAGCAGCAUGGCCUAAAGCAGCCAGGCGUGCCUCAUUCAGAGCGCCUCUUCCCAGAGCUGAUUGCUCCUCUCGUCUUUUCCGGCAGAUUAAACAGGUAGGGUUUCUUAUUUUAACUCUUGUUGAGCUGCGUUGUGCCGCUGGAAAAACACUGGCAGUGUCCCUGCUGAGCCCAGAUCUUGGGAACAAACAGAAAGGACGCAUCUCAAAGUAAAACCUUGCAUCGCCCAGCAGUUCCCUCAGAUUGAUCCAAAUCAAUUUUAUUUAACAAAAGAAAGCUGGCAGCAUGGGCAGAGCUCUCAUUUUCAUCUCUGUACUUGCCUGCAUGGUGUUGACAUUUUCUUCUUUUUCCUUUUUUUUUAAAGCAGGAGAAAACAGUUUAUUAGAAACUGAUUUGUCUCUCAGACCUCGCUGCCUGUGCUGGCCUUGCCUGAGCCCUCAUGUCACAGAACCAUCUGGUGUCCCGUGGAAAGCUGCAGUUUGCAAAAGUCAGAGCUGAACAAACCUGGUUUGUCUAGCCUAGUGGGACUUAGCAGUUUCUUUCCCUUUGAAAUUCCUCUGGGUUGGAGGCCAGUGACCUCCCCAGUUAACUCCUGUUUGCUGGAUAGAGACCUGGGGAGUAAGGUGCAGGCUCAGGUCUGCCCCAGCAUUGGCCUCCCAGUGGCAGGGCCCUGGCCCCUUCACGCAGGGACCAGGAAGAGCCUGGGCUCCUGUCUGCCGCCUUUGGAGCAGGAAGUUCUGUAGACAGUGGAAUUCACGGCUCCAUCUUCCGAGAGGCCGGUGUUCACCCUUGUUCCUCAGAGCUUCUGCUUCCGUUUGCUGAACUAAGGGGGGCAGCCCUGGACACUGGCCAAGGGAUGUCUUCUUCAAUGAAACUUUCAUAACUGUGAGUAUGAAGCAAAUGGAAUAACUGACCAUUGCAUGUACUCGAUGUUUAUGGAAAUGACUCUUUCCAGAGGCCUCCGUCCCUCCACCAGGUUCAGUGAGCUCAGCCUGUGGUACAGAAUACCGUAGUCUGGCUGGCUUAGACAGCAGGCGUUAUUUCUCAUCAUUCUGAAGGCUGAAAGUGCGAGGUCAGGGUGCAGCAUGGCAGGGCUCUGUCGUGGGGGGGGCUCUCUUCCUGGCUUCCAGACAGUGGCCACUUCAAUGCGGGGUCACGUGACCUCUUUGGAGACAGAGAAAGAGAAACUCUCUGGUGUCUCCUCUUAUAAUUAAACAAAUCCCAUGAGGCCCCACCAGCAUGACUUCACCUAAACCUAGUCACUGCCCGAAGCCCCAUCUCCAAACACCAUCCCAUUGGGGGUUACGGCUUCAUCAUAGGAAUUGGGGAAGACACAAUGCAGCCCACAGCAUUGCCCAAUGGUGUUAUUGUGGCCACGUUAGCAAGUAAUUGUAUCAUUGUGGCUGAGACAAAGAAAACUUCUCUCUGGCCCAAACGGUUGACAUGCAGAGUAUAUUUUAAAAAUACAAAAGAUUAUGGAGCAGUUCAGUCCAUGAUGGAGCAAACGUCAAUCAGUUGGAACCUUCAGAACCAUAGUCUUCCUUCUCACACACUCCCACACCUGCACUCACCCCUCCUGCCACACCUGCUUUAGGAUUUUCCAAAAAGAGAUCCCAAGAGAAAGUGCUUGUGUCAGGAAUUCAAUGGAAAAUGGAAAGUAACUCUCAAGAUGUUUAUGUUGUCAACAGUCUCUUGUACUUUCAAUUAUACUGUCUACCCUUGCAGUAACAUGGACUGACCACUGAUCAGAAUGAUGGAUUAGCUUAACCCCCCGAGGGAGCUUUAUUCACCCAAGAAGUUGUUAUGUAUAUUCUAAAUACCAAGGAUGGAACGAGAACUAAUUUUCAGAAGAUUUCGAGUGGCAGGAGUGGAAAGUAAGGAGGAGUUGGUGGAGACUCCGGGGUUAAUUACAGCACUGUUUCCCGAGCAUCCUGUCUUAUGCAACGUUUUCUUUCAUAGAAUGAGUCAUUGAGUGCUUUGGGGAGGUGGGCUGAGAUCUACAUUUUAUGAUUGAAAAACAACUUCUUCAAGGUCAGGAGAAGAGAACUGGAUUAUCCAUUUAAACGUGAACUGCACAAUAUUGAACACUGAAAAGACCUCCCCCAACAGUUUUUUUGUUUGGUUGAUUGGUUGGGUUGUUUUGCAUUUCAGGUGUGACCCAGGAGGAGAAACAAAGCAGCCUGUUGUUAUUUUCUCUUGUCACCUUUAAAAAAAGGUGUCUCUGUCUGAUUUGUGAUAGAGGCAGCCUUAGAUAAAGCACAAUUGAGGCUAUUUCAGCCUCUAAAUGGAGAGCAUUUCUGCUUCUGCUUGAAGCCACAGUAAGAGGUAUUUCACAAACAGUGAUGGGGUCAGUGCAACCAAAUUCUUUUCUGGCUCCACCUGCAUUCCUCACCCUUUUAAAAAAAUUGUUGAUAGUAUUACAGAUAUCUCCCAUUUUCACCCCUCCCCUUCUCCUUCCAGCCUCUUACCCCCUCCACCCCCAGGACUUCACUACCCUAUUGCCUGUGUCCAAGGGCUAUGCGUAUAAGUUCUUCGGUUUAUCGCUUCUCAUCCUCCCAACCCCACGUCAAGGUAUGUCAGUCUGUUUCAUGCCUCCAUGCGUCAGGCCUUAUUUUGUUGGUCAAUUCAUUUUGUUCAUUAGAUUCCACAAAUAAGUGAGACCAUGUGAUAUUUGUCUUUCUCGGAUUGGCUUAUUUCACUUAGCGCAAUAUUUUCCAGGUCCACUCAUGCUGUUCCAAAGAGUAAGAGAUCCCCUUUUUACAGCUGCAUAGUAUUCCAUUGUGUUAAUGCCCCACAACUUUUUUAUCCACUCAUCAGAGCCCUGUUCCU